AUAUAUACCUGGCAGGGGAGAGGCUCACCUAGGGAUGAAGCCCGGCCGUGCUGACCCCAUGCGAAUUCCCCAAACGUGGGAAUCUUGACUCCAUAAGUUAUGGUAGUGGGGAAUUGCGUCACGGUCUCCAC
rnacentral:snRNA from 1 species